UACAGAGGCCUCAAGCGUUGUUCGGAAUUACUGGGCGUAAAGGGUGCGCAGGCCGCACGGGCAGUCAAAUGUGUAAUUCAGAGGCUCAACCUCUGGACUGCGCUUGAUACUUCCGUGCUCGAACCUUGGAGAGGAGUCUGGAAUUCUCGGUGUAGCAGUGAAAUGCGUGGAUAUCGAGAAGAACACUUAGGGCGAAGGCAAGACUCUAGACAAGUGUUGACGCUCAUGCACGAAGGCUAGGGUAGCGAACGGG
rnacentral:rRNA from 1 species